AAGUCGUAACAAGGUAACCGUAGGUGAACCUGCGGUUGGAUCAUUACAGAAAGAACGUUCGUUUGGGAGCACUCGUCUAUCGUGCUCUUAACGUUCUCACCUUUUGUGCACCGUAUUGUCUCUGGCGGCGGGGUGCGGCAUGCGCCCAUCAGGCGCAUUGCCUCACCUGUCAGCUUGUGGGCCUGGCCUGUCCAAGUCUGGGUCUGCUGGCCGUGGACAAACCGCCAAUUGUGUUUCAAACUUGUUGUUUCACUGAAGAUUGCCGUCUCAUGUACAUUUGAGUACAAAUAGCUCAACAACUUUUGGCAACGGAUCUCUUGGCUCUC
rnacentral:misc_RNA from 1 species